UACGUAGGGUGCAAGCGUUGUCCGGAAUUAUUGGGCGUAAAGAGCUCGUAGGCGGUUUGUCGCGUCUGCUGUGAAAACUCGGGGCUUAACCCCGGGCCUGCAGCCGAUACGGGCAAGCUAGAAUUCGGUAGGGGAGACUGGAAUUCCUGGUGUAGCGGUGAAAAUGCGCAGAUAUCAGGAGGAACACCGGUGGCGAAGGCGGGUCUCUGGGCCGAUAUUGACGCUGAGGAGCGAAAGCGUGGGGAGCAAACAGG
rnacentral:rRNA from 1 species